rnacentral:rRNA from 1 species
CCUACGGGUGGCAGCAGUGGGGAAUAUUGCGCAAUGGGCGAAAGCCUGACGCAGCGACGCCGCGUGAGGGAUGAAGGUCUUCGGAUCGUAAACCUCUGUCAGCAGGGAAGAACGGUCACUGUGCUAAUCAGCAGUGAAUUGACGGUACCUGCAAAGGAAGCACCGGCUAACUCCGUGCCAGCAGCCGCGGUAAUACGGGGGAUGCAAGCGUUAUCCGGAUUUAUUGGGUUUAAAGGGUGCGUAGGCUGUGAGGUAAGUCAGCGGUGAAAUGCCCCCGCUCAACGGGGUGAAGUGCCAUUGAUACUGCCUUGCUGGAAUGCGGAUGCCGUGGGAGGAAUGUGUGGUGUAGCGGUGAAAUGCAUAGAUAUCACACAGAACACCGAUUGCGAAGGCAUCUCACGAAUCCGCGAUUGACGCUGAUGCACGAAAGCGUGGGUAUCAAACAGGAUUAGAUACCCUUGUAGUC